AUCCAGUUGACGAGUCCAAAGCAGGACGAAACGCACGUCAUAACUGCGU
rnacentral:hammerhead_ribozyme from 1 species